AACGAACGCUGGCGGCAGGCUUAACACAUGCAAGUCGAGCGAAGACUUCGGUCUUAGCGGCGGACGGGUGAGUAACGCGUGGGAACAUACCCUUUGCUACGGAACAGUCCCGGGAAACUGGGUUUAAUACCGUAUACGCCCUUCGGGGGAAAGAUUUAUCGGCAAAGGAUUGGCCCGCGUUGGAUUAGGUAGUUGGUGGGGUAAAGGCCUACCAAGCCGACGAUCCAUAGCUGGUUUGAGAGGAUGAUCAGCCACACUGGGACUGAGACACGGCCCAGACUCCUACGGGAGGCAGCAGUGGGGAAUCUUAGACAAUGGGGGCAACCCUGAUCUAGCCAUGCCGCGUGAGUGAUGAAGGCCCUAGGGUUGUAAACCUCUUUCAGCACCGGCGAAGCGCCCGUGAGGGUGGUGACGGUAGGUGCAGAAGAAGGACCGGCCAACUACGUGCCAGCCGCCGCGGUAAAAC
rnacentral:rRNA from 1 species